CAUAAAGCAGGUACCAGAGCAGAGGGACGUACCACAUUCUUCUCUGAAAACAUAUUUAGGUUUAAGGAUGAGCUAGCUAAUGCUUCUGGCAACCAUCAUGGAUGAAGAGGUGACCUUGAGGAUGGAAGCCACAUGCCAGGAGAGUGAAGCAGAAAGACAGAAGAAGCAUGGGGCCUGGGGCCUGGGGCCUGCCAAUCAGUCUGGACUCACUCAUAUGGAAUGGACUGCAGUCACUUGAGAGAGAAAAAAACUUCCACUGUGUUUAAACCUCUGUUUGGCUUUUCUGUCACAUGUAGACAUCAGGAUUACCAAAAGACACAUCAGAUUUUGCCUUUCUUUAAAAAGAAAACUCAAUCUAAGUUCGUGUUUUUUUCCUUUAGUGAUUUGAGAGUGUUAAUUUCUAUUUCAGUUAUAUUAGUAGUUACUAUAAAAUGUCUAACAAACGUAUUUGUACAUUUAUUUUUGAAGAACAUUAGGACCUUGCUACUCCAAGUAUGAUCCCCUGAUCAGCUGUGUCAGCAUCACUGGGGAGUUUUUACGAAAUGUAGAAUCUCAUGCCUUACCUAGGCCCACAGAAACAGAAUCUCAUUUUGACAAGAUCCUCAGGUGAUCUGUGUACAUAUUGCAGUGUGAAAACCACUGCUCUUGAGACUGGCGUCCCCUCCCCACUUCUGUGUAAUGUGCAAUCAUCUCCCACUUUCCUCCUUACGCCUGUGAUGGCUUCCAUAGAGAGCCAAGUCAGCAGCAGGGCAUCCUUGGCCUUUGAAAAUCUGGUCCCUAUCUACCUUUAGUGUUUGUCCUUCUCCCACCCUACCCCAACUCGACACUCCUCGUGCUGGACUAAAUGUGUCACGUAGUUCCCUAAAUGUGUCACGGCACUUCCUGGGUAUACACUAAUCCCUCCCCAGUAGCCCAUCCAACAGCUAUCCCACUUCCUCCUUGCUAAUUAAUAGA
rnacentral:lncRNA from 1 species